GGGAAAUCCGAAGGUAAAGUGGACGUCGGAAGAGGAGGAUGCCCUAAAAGCCGGUGUGACAAAGCACGGUAGCGGAAGGUGGAAGAAUAUCAUCAGAGAUCCUGAAUUCGCCCCGAUUUUGAUUAAUCGGUCUAAUAUCGACCUCAAGGACAAAUGGAGAAAUAUGUGUAUUUACACUGCUGGACAAGGUUCAAAAGAUAAAUCUAUAGUUGUUCGUACAAGACCAAUGGAAAUAGAUGCAUUUGUGCCUUCCCCUAUUCAAAGUCUUCCGCCUAUUACUUCAGCAUUUGAGAAUGAAGCCAUCGAGGAUUCUCCCGACGUCCAACCAGAAGGCGUGAAUGCUCCAAAGUAUAAUGAUAUGAUCUUUGAAGCUUUGUCAUCCAUGGGGGAUUCAAAUGGAUCUGAU
rnacentral:misc_RNA from 1 species